rnacentral:rRNA from 1 species
CCUACGGGAGGCAGCAGUGGGGAAUAUUGGGCAAUGGGCGCAAGCCUGACCCAGCAACGCCGCGUAAAGGAAGAAGGCCCUCGGGUUGUAAACUUCUUUUAACAGGGACGAAGAAAGUGACGGUACCUGUUGAAAAAGCAUCGGCUAACUCCGUGCCAGCAGCCGCGGUAAUACGGAGGAUGCGAGCGUUAUCCGGAUUUAUUGGGUUUAAAGGGUGCGCAGGCGGAAGAUCAAGUCAGCGGUAAAAUUGAGAGGCUCAACCUCUUCGAGCCGUUGAAACUGGUUUUCUUGAGUGAGCGAGAAGUAUGCGGAAUGCGUGGUGUAGCGGUGAAAUGCAUAGAUAUCACGCAGAACUCCGAUUGCGAAGGCAGCAUACCGGCGCUCAACUGACGCUCAUGCACGAAAGUGUGGGUAUCGAACAGGAUUAGAUACCCCUGUAGUC